AUUGAACGCUGGCGGCAGGCCUAACCCAUGCAAGUCGAGAGGAGCGGCGGACGGGUGAGUAAUGCCUAGGAAUCUGCCUGGUAGUGGGGGAGAACGUCAGGAAACGGGCGCUAAUACCGCAUAAUAUCAGAUGAGCCUCGGUCGGAUGAGCUAGUUGGUGGGGUAAAGGCAUACCAAGGCGACGAUCCGUAACUGGUCUGAGGGGAUGAUCAGUCACACUGGAACUGAGACACGGUCCAGACUCCUACGGGAGGCAGCAGUGGGGAAUAUUGGACAAUGGGCGAAAUCCUGAUCCAGCCAUGCCGCGUGUGUGAAGAAGGUCUUCGGAUUGUAAAGCACUUUAAGUUGGGAGGCGUUACCAACAGAAUAAGCACCGGCUAACUUCGUGCCAGCAGCCGCGGUAAUAC
rnacentral:rRNA from 1 species